rnacentral:sRNA from 1 species
CCCUAGCCCAGAUGGAAGUGAAAAUCCUUUUGAAAAGAACGGCUGUUUUUUCUUGUACUGGCAGAGCGACCACCGGAAGCUCCUGCAAGUGCUUAGAAAAAAAGCAGUUAUUGAAAAAGAUUGUAACGUACAGCUGGAUUAAGC